CCCUUGGUAGCUCAGUUGGUAGAGCGGUGGACUGUAGUAGGCUAAUUCUGAGAACCAUAGGUCGCUGGUUCAAAUCCGGCCCGAGGGA
rnacentral:tRNA from 1 species